GUUCACCCCUUCCCCUGCUA
rnacentral:tRNA from 1 species